GAUUCAACUCAGUUUUCGUAGCGGAGGGUUCAUUCAUGGGAAUGAACAACACUUAGCUACUGUGCUAGAGGACAAUGAAGAGGAAAAUCGCACCAACUUUGUAACGCAUAGAAGGACAAGCAACAAUUGGACUGCCGUUGAUAUUCUUGUUAUUUUGCAUCGAUGUAAGUAAUUUCUUUUAUAUUUUAAAAUCCUUCUCCUAUGCCUAAGUGUAACACCCCAAAAUUUGCCCUCCUCAUUCAUGCAUUCAUUUAGCAUUUCAUCAUGUCAAUCAGAAUUAGAUCCAAAAAAAAAAAAAAAAAAAAA
rnacentral:lncRNA from 1 species